rnacentral:rRNA from 1 species
AUUGAACGCUGGCGGCAGGCCUAACACAUGCAAGUCGAGCGGAUGAAGGGAGCUUGCUCCUGGAUUCAGCGGCGGACGGGUGAGUAAUGCCUAGGAAUCUGCCUGGUAGUGGGGGAUAACGUCCGGAAACGGGCGCUAAUACCGCAUACGUCCUGAGGGAGAAAGUGGGGGAUCUUCGGACCUCACGCUAUCAGAUGAGCCUAGGUCGGAUUAGCUAGUUGGUGGGGUAAAGGCCUACCAAGGCGACGAUCCGUAACUGGUCUGAGAGGAUGAUCAGUCACACUGGAACUGAGACACGGUCCAGACUCCUACGGGAGGCAGCAGUGGGGAAUAUUGGACACUGGGCGAAAGCCUGAUCCAGCCAUGCCGCGUGUGUGAAGAAGGUCUUCGGAUUGUAAAGCACUUUAAGUUGGGAGGAAGGGCAGUAAGUUAAUACCUGGCUGUUUUGACGUUACCAACAGAAUAAGCACCGGCUAACUUCGU